UCAAGGUGAUGCAAGGAGUCACAAUUUUCAAGACUUUCAAACUUAGACACAAGACCUGAUUAAAGGCUGACAUGUUGUAAAUAAAACAACUAUCACAUCCAACAAAACAGUAGAAAGUAAUAAGACCACAGAAGUUAAAUUAAAAACCUUGAUUAAGUAAAAAAAAAUAGCUUGAGAUACAAAUGUAUUUCCUUUAUAUAAACUGUAAUGAUGUAGAACUAUGUAAUGUAUUUAUUGAUGAAUUAAUGUUGAACACAACUAGUGUGUUUUUCAGCAAGUCAGUAAACUUCAAACAACUCUUGAGUGUGGGGGAGGGGCGCGCUUCAAUCAAGCCACAUGCAAGGAUGCGUUCAUGGCAGAAGGAAUUUUUUGCUUUCUUCAUUGAGACUUAUUUAUGCUUAAAAGCAGUAUGGUUUGAGUUUCAAAUGUUGGACUAAUUAUUUAAUGAACCAUUGUUAAACAUAAUCCUACUAGUUUACUGAAGAGUGUGGAUUGUAAUCAGUAGCUUAGUCCAUGAAGUGUCACAACAUUGACAUCCGAGUGGACGUGAAUGCAUCACCAGAAAGUGCGAGCCCGCAGAUGCACAUCAACACCACUGAAGCGGUGUGAAGAACAACUAACGCAAACAAAACAAGAAAACCACAAACAAAUCUUACAACUAAUCAAGAUGGACGGUGUUAUAGAUGGCUCUUUAUCUGAAUCCAGCAAUGAUCCAGAAAGUGACUACAUGCCGUCAAUGUCUGAUAGUUCAUCCUCAACAGUGGCACCUGGUCAAGAGUCACAAGUCAGUGGAAGUCAGGCUCAAAACUCAGAUGCCUGUUCAAGAUUCUGAUGAAGAACCGGACAUUCUGACUCAAAAGACCUCAACUCCAAGACCAUCAGAUCAGGCCUGCUGAAAAAGACUGAGAAAACAGGGAGCGAUUGACAGUACCCCCAAAAGAAGUUCCAUGGUAGGCCUUGGUGUUGUGAAAAAAAGACGACAGUACGGCGACAGCACAUCACUCUGAAUAGAGUUCCUGGUAAAGAACUUAGUCUCAAGGCUCUUGAUGCAGAACUGAUACUCGCCACUGGAGAGAUGUUAAGAACCAAAUCUACAAUUCCAUCA